rnacentral:tRNA from 1 species
GCCGGGGUAGCUCAGCUGGUUAGAGCACCUGUCUGUGGAACAGGGGGUCGGCAGUUCGAACCUGCCCCCCGGUA